rnacentral:sRNA from 1 species
CCUACCGGCCGCGACUCCGGGCUUGGCCCCGGCCCUAGCUCGUCGGCUGUGUAUUGCGCGUGGAGGCUGCAGUCACGGUGGCGCCCGCGGGGACGGAGGAGGGAAUGAGUGAAGAGGAGCAAGGCUCCGGCACUACCACGGGCUGCGGGCUGCCUAGUAUAGAGCAAAUGCUGGCCGCCAACCCAGGCAAGACCCCGAUCAGCCUUCUGCAGGAGUAUGGGACCAGAAUAGGGAAGACGCCUGUGUACGACCUUCUCAAAGCCGAGGGCCAAGCCCACCAGCCUAAUUUCACCUUCCGGGUCACCGUUGGCGACACCAGCUGCACUGGUCAGGGCCCCAGCAAGAAGGCAGCCAAGCACAAGGCAGCUGAGGUGGCCCUCAAACACCUCAAAGGGGGGAGCAUGCUGGAGCCGGCCCUGGAGGACAGCAGUUCUUUUUCUCCCCUAGACUCUUCACUGCCUGAGGACAUUCCGGUUUUUACUGCUGCAGCAGCUGCUACCCCAGUUCCAUCUGUAGUCCUAACCAGGUAUCUGUGUCCCCUGACUACCUGAGGUGGGUGGAGGAAGGGGUUCUGGUUUUUGGUCCCUCAGUCCUUGGACCCAAGCUGGUCAGGCAUGAGGAAGUCUGAGAAUAAACAGAAUGGAAUAGUUGGGAACCAGAACUUGAAGAAAUCACAGCAGCUGGUAAGCUCUUGGGACAAGAGGUCAUUUGUGAUUUUCAGACAGCCUUAUGAAUGAUGUCCGACCAUGUUUAAGGGUCUUGCAGGUCCCAUUUUCUUCUGGGUUGACCACAUGUCAGUUCUGUGUUUGAGGCCCGUCAGGCACUUCUGGGACUGGAAAUACAGCUCUUCUCCCACUGUCCUGGCUUAGAUGAUACCCAAGUGUUCCAGAAUGGAAAUGGGCUGGGGCCUGGAGAAGGCCUCCCUUGAGUGGGAGGGGGAAGGAAGCCGGCUAGAGCAGGAGGGAGCAGGCUAGAUGUGUGGACAGACAGCUGCCCACCCGGUGGAAUCGGGAGAUGGUAGUCAGGAAUCUAAAGUAGUGGUUAGGUUUGGAGCUCAUGGGCAGGCUCAGAUGGAACCCUUCACCUCAACUUUGGCCCUGUGCCUUUUCCUUCA